GGGCUCAUGGUCUAGCGGUUAUGACGUCUCCUUCACACGGAGAAGAUCGCCAGUUCGAAUCUGGCUGAGCCCA
rfam:Candidatus Methanomassiliicoccus intestinalis Issoire-Mx1, complete genome.